AAGGGGGCGUGCUAACAAUGCAGUCGAACGAUGAACCACUUCGGUGGGGAUUAGUGGCGAACGGGUGAGUAACACGUGGGCAAUCUGCCCUGCACUCUGGGACAAGCCCUGGAAACGGGGUCUAAUACCGGAUACUACCCUCGCAGGCAUCUGUGAGGGUUAAAAGCUCCGGCGGUGCAGGAUGAGCCCGCGGCCUAUCAGCUUGUUGGUGAGGUAGUGGCUCACCAAGGCGAUGACG
rnacentral:rRNA from 1 species